GUAAGUUUUUGAGGCAUGUAAUUUUGAUGA
rnacentral:piRNA from 1 species